AUGGGGUUAUGGGGAUUAAUGGGGUCAAUGGGGAUCAAUGGGGUUAUGGGGCUAUGGGUGAUGGGGUUAUGGGGCUAUGGGGUCAAUGGGGAUUAAUGGGGUGGCCCCAUAGGACGUCCCCAAGACCCCAUAGAUCACCCGUAGACCACAUAAAAUGUCCCCAAGAAGCCAUAGACCCCAUAGGAUGCCCCCAGACCCCACAUAUCCCCCCAUAGACCCCAUAGGAUGCCCCCGAGACCCCAUAGGAUGCCCCCAGACCCCACAUAUCCCCUCAUAGACCCCAUAGGAUGCCCCCAGACCCCACAUAUCCCCCCCUAGACCCCAUAGGAUGCCCCCGAGACCCCAUAGGAUGCCCCCAGACCCCACAUAUCACCCCAUAGAUGCAAUAGGAUGUCCCCAGACCCCAUAGAAUGUCCCCAGACCCCACGUAUCUCCCCAUAGACCCCAUAGGAUGUCCCCAAGACACCAUAGAUCACCCCCAUAGACCCCAUAGGAUGUCCCUGAGACCCCAUAUGGUGCUGCUGAGACCCCAUAGAACCCCAUAGAGGUGACAGUGGGACCCCAUGGAGUGCCACCAACCCCACAGAGGUGACAGUGGGACCCCAUAUUGGUGACAACGGGAUCCCAUAGACGUGACAACGGGACCCCAUGGAGUGCCACCAACCCCAUAGAGGUGACAAUGGGGCCAACGUCAGCACCCGGGAGGGGACGUCGAGGAGUGUCACCGUAUGGGGGUGACUCACGGGGGCGCCCCCACCCACCUCAGGGCGGUGUCACCGCGUCACCUCCCUCCCUUAUCUUAUCGGCGCCGUGGGGUGGGGGUGGGGCUCUCCCUAUAGGGCCACCCAUCCCCGUCCCGCCCCCUUUUUUUGGGG
rnacentral:lncRNA from 1 species